CAGCCGCCACGGUAAUACAGAGGGUGCGAGCGUUAAUCGGAUUUACUGGGCGUAAAGCGUGCGUAGGCGGCUUUUUAAGUCGGAUGUGAAAUCCCUGAGCUUAACUUAGGAAUUGCAUUCGAUACUGGGAAGCUAGAGUAUGGGAGAGGAUGGUAGAAUUCCAGGUGUAGCGGUGAAAUGCGUAGAGAUCUGGAGGAAUACCGGUGGCGAAGGCGGCCCCCUGGACAAAGACUGACGCUCAGGUGCGAAAGCGUGGGGAGCAAACAGGAUUAGAUACCCCUGUAGUCCCUGUCUCUUAUAC
rnacentral:rRNA from 1 species